rnacentral:rRNA from 1 species
GACGAACGCUGGCGGCGUGCUUAACACAUGCAAGCCGAACGGGCCCGCCCCUGUUUUUGGGGGUGGGUUGAGUGGCGAACGGGUGAGUAUCACGUGAGUAACCUGCCCCCUGCUCCUGGAUAACUGCUUGAAAGGGCGGCUAAUACGGGGUGUGCCGGCUGGUCCGCAUGGGCCUGGUCGGGAUAGUUUCAUCUUCGGGUGUUUCGGUGGGGGAUGGGCUCGCGGCCUAUCAGCUUGUUGGUGGGGUGAUGGCCCACCAAGGCGGUGACGGGUAGCCGGCCUGAGAGGGUGGGCGGCCACACUGGGACUGAGACACGGCCCAGACUCCUGCGGGAGGCAGCAGUGGGGGGUAUUGCACAAUGGGCGGAAGCCUGAUGCAGCGACGUCGCGUGAGGGAUGGAGGCCUUCGGGUGGUGAACCUCUUUCUCCGGUGGUGAAGGCCCUGUCCGUUGCGGCGGGGUUGACGGUAGCCGGGUAUGAAGCGCCGGCUAACUACGUG